rnacentral:rRNA from 1 species
UACGUAGGGUGCAAGCGUUGUCCGGAAUUAUUGGGCGUAAAGAGCUCGUAGGCGGUUCGUCGCGUCGGCUGUGAAAUCCCGAGGCUCAACCUCGGGUCUGCAGUCGAUACGGGCGGACUGGAGUUCGGCAGGGGAGACUGGAAUUCCUGGUGUAGCGGUGAAAUGCGCAGAUAUCAGGAAGAACACCGAUGGCGAAGGCAGAUCUCUGGGCCGUAACUGACGCUGAGGAGCGAAAGCAUGGGGGAGCGAACAGG